UUUGUGCUGUGACGGACUGUCAGGUUCUCUGCUGAUUUCACCACAGGAGGAACAUCUUCAUCAUCUUCACAUUUCCUCUCAGCUCCUCCUCCAUCGGAGCCACAAACAGACAGACGUAGAGCUAGACUGCUCUGCCAGAAGGGGAGGAAGGACUGUAAGAACAUCACCAUGCUUCAAGAGAAUCCCCAGAAAUGGCUGUUCAUCAUGCUCAACAUCGGACCAGAGGCCAUGACUGUGAAAUACGAGUGUGAGUUCACAGUGAAUGAAGACGACAUCGACAAAACCAGGAAGGGAACGCCGAGCGAACUGCUGCCGAGUACGUUCAACGCUCUGCACGGUCAAAAAGAAGUGGCCUGCUUGGCUCAGCCUUCACCUUCUUCUCGUCCUCCGUCUCUUGAGAUCUUCUGGAUUGCGAUUGGUCUGCUGGCUCUGAUGUUCCUGUACAGCUGUGUCAUCACCUCCUUCUACAUCAGACUGAGGUGCAGCAACGGAGAAGCUGGCAACACCACCUAUGUAGAAAUGAGGAAAGCUCCUCGGCCAAGGAAUCCACCUCUGUGACUCCUCUUGGUCCACCACCGGCCUCGUGCUCAAUGUGUCGCCAGGAGGACAUUGGGUUGUUUGCUGCACAUUAUUUUGAUUGAUUUUAGCAUGGUUUGUUUUACAUUUUAGCAUGUUGACCCACAUUUUAUUAGCAGUCAAUAAUCACAUGCACCUGGAGGGACGUAAUCGGUUACAGGGAGCGCUGGUACUGAAGCAACUGGCCAACAGGAUAACAGGACCUCCCCUCCCCAAUCAUCACAGCUACUAUUAAAGAACAUGAAGCACGGCACGAGCAGAGAAAAACGAGAGGAGGGAAACAAGCAGAGGACAGAAAAUGCAGAGGUCGAGCAGAGCAGGGUGCGAGCAGGCCAAAGAGGAACAGGACGGAACUGGACACCACUCACAGGAACGGAAAGGAGC
ensembl:lncRNA